UUGAACGCUGGCGGCAGGCCUAACACAUGCAAGUCGAGCGGAUGAAGGGAGCUUGCUCCUGGAUUCAGCGGCGGACGGGUGAGUAAUGCCUAGGAAUCUGCCUGGUAGUGGGGGAUAACGUCCGGAAACGGGCGCUAAUACCGCAUACGUCCUGAGGGAGAAAGUGGGGGAUCUUCGGACCUCACGCUAUCAGAUAAGCCUAGGUCGGAUUAGCUAGUUGGUGGGGUAAAGGCCUACCAAGGCGACGAUCCGUAACUGGUCUGAGAGGAUGAUCAGUCACACUGGAACUGAGACACGGUCCAGACUCCUACGGGAGGCAGCAGUGGGGAAUAUUGGACAAUGGGCGAAAGCCUGAUCCAGCCAUGCCGCGUGUGUGAAGAAGGUCUUCGGAUUGUAAAGCACUUUAAGUUGGGAGGAAGGGCAGUAAGUUAAUACCUUGCUGUUUUGACGUUACCAACAGAAUAAGCACCGGCUAACUUCGUG
rnacentral:rRNA from 1 species